rnacentral:rRNA from 1 species
UACGAAGGGGGCUAGCGUUGUUCGAAAUUACUGGGCGUAAAGCGCACGUAGGCGGAUCUUUAAGUCAGGGGUGAAAUCCCGAGGCUCAACCUCGGAACUGCCUUUGAUACUGGGGAUAUCGAGUCCGGGAGAGGUGAGUGGAACUGCGAGUGUAGAGGUGAAAUUCGUAGAUAUUCGCAAGAACACCAGUGGCGAAGGCGGCUCACUGGCUCGUAUCUGACGCUCAGGCGCGACAGCGUGGGGAUCAAACAGG